rnacentral:rRNA from 1 species
ACUGUACGGGAGGCAGCAGUAGGGAAUAUUGCGCAAUGGGGGAAACCCUGACGCAGCAACGCCGCGUGGAGGAUGACACUUUUCGGAGCGUAAACUCCUUUUGUUGGGGAAGAAUAAUGACGGUACCUAACGAAUAAGCACCGGCUAACUCCGUGCCAGCAGCCGCGGUAAUCAGU